AGCGUACACGGUGGAUGCCCUGGCAGUCAGAGGCGAUGAAGGACGUGCUAAUCUGCGAUAAGCGUCGGUAAGGUGAUAUGAACCGUUAUAACCGGCGAUUUCCGAAUGGGGAAACCCAGUGUGUUUCGACACACUAUCAUUAACUGAAUCCAUAGGUUAAUGAGGCGAACCGGGGGAACUGAAACAUCUAAGUACCCCGAGGAAAAGAAAUCAACCGAGAUUCCCCCAGUAGCGGCGAGCGAACGGGGAGCAGCCCAGAGCCUGAAUCAGUGUGUGUGUUAGUGGAAGCGUCUGGAAAGGCGUGCGAUACAGGGUGACAGCCCCGUACACAAAAAUGCACAUGCUGUGAGCUCGAUGAGUAGGGCGGGACACGUGGUAUCCUGUCUGAAUAUGGGGGGACCAUCCUCCAAGGCUAAAUACUCCUGACUGACCGAUAGUGAACCAGUACCGUGAGGGAAAGGCGAAAAGAACCCCGGCGAGGGGAGUGAAAAAGAACCUGAAACCGUGUACGUACAAGCAGUGGGAGCACGCUUAGGCGUGUGACUGCGUACCUUUUGUAUAAUGGGUCAGCGACUUAUAUUCUGUAGCAAGGUUAACCGAAUAGGGGAGCCGAAGGGAAACCGAGUCUUAACUGGGCGUUAAGUUGCAGGGUAUAGACCCGAAACCCGGUGAUCUAGCCAUGGGCAGGUUGAAGGUUGGGUAACACUAACUGGAGGACCGAACCGACUAAUGUUGAAAAAUUAGCGGAUGACUUGUGGCUGGGGGUGAAAGGCCAAUCAAACCGGGAGAUAGCUGGUUCUCCCCGAAAGCUAUUUAGGUAGCGCCUCGUGAAUUCAUCUCCGGGGGUAGAGCACUGUUUCGGCAAGGGGGUCAUCCCGACUUACCAACCCGAUGCAAACUGCGAAUACCGGAGAAUGUUAUCACGGGAGACACACGGCGGGUGCUAACGUCCGUCGUGAAGAGGGAAACAACCCAGACCGCCAGCUAAGGUCCCAAAGUCAUGGUUAAGUGGGAAACGAUGUGGGAAGGCCCAGACAGCCAGGAUGUUGGCUUAGAAGCAGCCAUCAUUUAAAGAAAGCGUAAUAGCUCACUGGUCGAGUCGGCCUGCGCGGAAGAUGUAACGGGGCUAAACCAUGCACCGAAGCUGCGGCAGCGACGCUGAUGCGUUGUUGGGUAGGGGAGCGUUCUGUAAGCCUGCGAAGGUGUGCUGUGAGGCAUGCUGGAGGUAUCAGAAGUGCGAAUGCUGACAUAAGUAACGAUAAAGCGGGUGAAAAGCCCGCUCGCCGGAAGACCAAGGGUUCCUGUCCAACGUUAAUCGGGGCAGGGUGAGUCGACCCCUAAGGCGAGGCCGAAAGGCGUAGUCGAUGGGAAACAGGUUAAUAUUCCUGUACUUGGUGUUACUGCGAAGGGGGGACGGAGAAGGCUAUGUUGGCCGGGCGACGGUUGUCCCGGUUUAAGCGUGUAGGCUGGUUUUCCAGGCAAAUCCGGAAAAUCAAGGCUGAGGCGUGAUGACGAGGCACUACGGUGCUGAAGCAACAAAUGCCCUGCUUCCAGGAAAAGCCUCUAAGCAUCAGGUAACAUCAAAUCGUACCCCAAACCGACACAGGUGGUCAGGUAGAGAAUACCAAGGCGCUUGAGAGAACUCGGGUGAAGGAACUAGGCAAAAUGGUGCCGUAACUUCGGGAGAAGGCACGCUGAUAUGUAGGUGAAGUCCCUUGCGGAUGGAGCUGAAAUCAGUCGAAGAUACCAGCUGGCUGCAACUGUUUAUUAAAAACACAGCACUGUGCAAACACGAAAGUGGACGUAUACGGUGUGACGCCUGCCCGGUGCCGGAAGGUUAAUUGAUGGGGUCAGCGCAAGCGAAGCUCUUGAUCGAAGCCCCGGUAAACGGCGGCCGUAACUAUAACGGUCCUAAGGUAGCGAAAUUCCUUGUCGGGUAAGUUCCGACCUGCACGAAUGGCGUAAUGAUGGCCAGGCUGUCUCCACCCGAGACUCAGUGAAAUUGAACUCGCUGUGAAGAUGCAGUGUACCCGCGGCAAGACGGAAAGACCCCGUGAACCUUUACUAUAGCUUGACACUGAACAUUGAGCCUUGAUGUGUAGGAUAGGUGGGAGGCUUAGAAGUGUGGACGCCAGUCUGCAUGGAGCCGACCUUGAAAUACCACCCUUUAAUGUUUGAUGUUCUAACGUUGACCCGUAAUCCGGGUUGCGGACAGUGUCUGGUGGGUAGUUUGACUGGGGCGGUCUCCUCCUAAAGAGUAACGGAGGAGCACGAAGGUUGGCUAAUCCUGGUCGGACAUCAGGAGGUUAGUGCAAUGGCAUAAGCCAGCUUGACUGCGAGCGUGACGGCGCGAGCAGGUGCGAAAGCAGGUCAUAGUGAUCCGGUGGUUCUGAAUGGAAGGGCCAUCGCUCAACGGAUAAAAGGUACUCCGGGGAUAACAGGCUGAUACCGCCCAAGAGUUCAUAUCGACGGCGGUGUUUGGCACCUCGAUGUCGGCUCAUCACAUCCUGGGGCUGAAGUAGGUCCCAAGGGUAUGGCUGUUCGCCAUUUAAAGUGGUACGCGAGCUGGGUUUAGAACGUCGUGAGACAGUUCGGUCCCUAUCUGCCGUGGGCGCUGGAGAACUGAGGGGGGCUGCUCCUAGUACGAGAGGACCGGAGUGGACGCAUCACUGGUGUUCGGGUUGUCAUGCCAAUGGCACUGCCCGGUAGCUAAAUGCGGAAGAGAUAAGUGCUGAAAGCAUCUAAGCACGAAACUUGCCCCGAGAUGAGUUCU
rnacentral:rRNA from 1 species